UUAAGUUCAGCGGGUAUCCCUACCUGAUCCGAGGUCAACCUUGAAUAAAGAUUUAACGGCCGUCGCCGCCCGAACUCUUCAGCGAUUUGAAAAUCACAACGCUUAGAGACGAACUGCUCAGCCGGAGACUUUAAGGCGCGCGGAAAUCGCGACGCCCAAUACCAAGCUAGGCUUGAGUGGUGAAAUGACGCUCGAACAGG
rnacentral:misc_RNA from 1 species